rnacentral:rRNA from 1 species
AUUGAACGCUGGCGGCAUGCUUUACACAUGCAAGUCGAACGGUAACAGGCCUUCGGGUGCUGACGAGUGGCGCACGGGUGAGUAAUGCAUCGGAACGUACCCAGAGGUGGGGGAUAACGCAGCGAAAGCUGUGCUAAUACCGCAUGUGAUCUGAGGAUGAAAGCGGGGGACCGAGCAGCAAUGUUUGGCCUCGCGCCUUUGGAGCGGCCGAUGUCGGAUUAGCUAGUUGGUGGGUAAAGGCCUACCAAGGCGACGAUCCGUAGCUGGUCUGAGAGGACGACCAGCCACACUGGGACUGAGACACGGCCCAGACUCCUACGGGAGGCAGCAGUGGGGAAUUUUGGACAAUGGGCGCAAGCCUGAUCCAGCAAUGCCGCGUGCGGGAAGAAGGCCUUCGGGUUGUAAACCGCUUUUGGCAGGAACGAAACGGUGUCCGCUAAUACCGGGCGCUAAUGACGGUACCUGCAGAAUAAGCACCGGCUAACUACGUG